UACGUAGGGGGCAAGCGUUGUCCGGAAUCAUUGGGCGUAAAGAGCGCGUAGGCGGCCCAGUAAGUCCGCUCUGAAAGUCAGAGGCUCAACCUCUGAAUGCGGGUGGAUACUGCUGGGCUAGAGUCCGGAAGAGGCGAGUGGAAUUCCUGGUGUAGCGGUGAAAUGCGCAGAUAUCAGGAGGAACACCGGUGGCGAAGGCGGGUCUCUGGGCCGAUACUGACGCUGAGGAGCGAAAGCGUGGGGAGCGAACAGG
rnacentral:rRNA from 1 species